UAGUGGGGAGGGAAACAAAGGCGACAUUUAAAUACCAACAUAUUUUCUAACCUCUUAACAGUUUACACCGUCCGCUAAAUUACGGGUUUUUUUCUUCUCUUAAAUAAUUAACUAGCAAUGAAUAAUAAUGGUUUGAAGGCGGGUGUCGCUGAGGGGUCAGAGGGGUCCGCAGACGUCGGUAGGGAGAAUAGAUGGCGCUGUUGUCCGCGGGUCGGUCAGUUAGCGUCAACCGUCUGAACCUCCUUCCAGCACUAAAGUAUCUUCAUCAUAUUUAAUAAAUCCUCCAUUUAAAAGUAAAAGUGAGCCACUUAGAGGCGCCCGGUGUGCUCCCGGAGAUCAUAUUUUUCCACAACAAGUGAUUUGAUGCUGCAGGUCGCCUUCUGGAGAGUCCGCCAUGUUGAACCACCAUGUUUCUACAGUGGCCCAGAAGGAGCAAACCAAACACUAGGUAGAGGCCGUUUGUGUUUGGAAGGAGAGGGAGAAGCAAGGUAGUUUGAAUCUGCAACACCGCUAUACGCCACUAAAUCCUACACACUGGACCUUUAAAGUCAUCAGGUCAGUAUUUCGCACACAGAAGAAAUGAUCGAGGUGCAACCCACAGAACAGUGACAGCUGAGGUGACAGGCUCUUCUUGCUCCUCUUCCUCACCACAACAUUAAUCUAUAAAGGGCCCAUGUGGGUUGGACUUUUUGUGGUUUGCUCAUAUUUUUAAAUUAAAGAUGUUGUACGCGAUUCUGGAGAAAUCCGGUACCGAGAUCAAUACGAUGAUACAGCACAAAUAAGUUGUACGUUUGCAAACUGUCACUGAAGUAGUUGCUGCGCAGCGAACACGCAGAGAGGACAAGACGCUUUCCCACAGCCAGCACACAGAGUCUCCUGCUACUAUAGCUAACAAUCACAACAACAGCAUAUCUUGACAAGCUAGAAAGUGAACUGAAUUUCCGUGGGCAAGUAAUGUAACGUUACCUAACACACAAAUCCUGGCUGGAAUAACAAGUUCGUGUUGUCCGUCUCAGUCCAAUCCACUUGGUUUGUUUCCCAUUUACAGAGCCAGGGCUGUGUACAAACACCAGAUUCUAGUUUCAGCGCACACAGAGAGAGGAAAGCUAGCGGACCGUGAGGAGAUAGUCACUGAAUUUGAGAAAAGUGUCUUGGAUUAGAAUCACUUACCCCACCUUUAAAGAGAGGCAUCUUUAAAAUAUAAAUGUGAGUAUUAAAACAGCAGACAAAUUAAUUGUUAGAUAUGUAUAUUUAUUUUUGAUUUGGAUGAUAUUUUUUGUAAUUAUAUUUUGAUAUUUAAUUUUACCAAUUGUUUCACAAAUAACAUCAUUUAAGUCUAAUAUUACAGUGGCAUAUCUAGCCUACAUAAACACGUAACUUGUCUAUCUCUAUAUCAUAAACUGCUUUCUGUAGCUGUGUCAGUAUAUCACUUAACAAUGUAAUAUCAGUAUUUACUAAAAGCUAAUUUGGUAUCUUUUUUUUUCACCUUUUCCUGCUUUGUGUCAUGGUUUUGUUCACUAGCUCUAUGUGUGAGGUGUUGCACCAUGCCACAUAAUUAUCUUUACCGUAACUACUGUAGCUUUCAUCUUAUUUUUCAUAAUUCACCAACUGACUUUAUUUUAAAUGUUUUAACGAGCCCAUUCGUUUUUAAUGUAAACUGUAGACACACCGGUCAGAUGGAAACAGCAAGAUUUCACCGUAAUGUUUGUGCAAUUUUGAUGUAUUCAAUGUAUUGAUUUAUUUUUUCAAUUAAUUAAUUAAUAAUUUGGUCUAUAAAAUGUCAGAAAACUGAAAAAUGGCCUCCAUAAUUCACAACUAGCCAAGGAGAUUAAAUCUCUUGUUUUAUUCAACCCAAAGAUUUUCAGCAUUCAAUCAUAUGACAAUAAAAGUAGUAAACCCAAACAUUUGAGUAGGGACCAGUGAAUGUUUGAAUGUUUUAAAUCUCAUCUCAAAACCUUUUUAAUCUCCAAGGGUUUUUAUUGUUGCUACAUUGUCCUGAUUUGUUCUUAUUUGUGACAUUUUGGAAGUCACUUUGUGACCCUGCUUUUGAAAAGUGCUGCAUAAAUAAUACACCUAUACAAUUUACUGCCAUCCAAUACAACGUAUGUAGCUGUAGUACUGGACUGCAUUGUAUUAAAAUGUGUCAUAUGUAAUAUUCA